rnacentral:rRNA from 1 species
AGAGUUUGAUUAUGGCUCAGGACGAACGCUGGCGGCGCGCCUAACACAUGCAAGUCGAACGGACUUAUGGAAACUGAGGCUUCGGCGGACGAAGAAGUAAAGUUAGUGGCGAACGGGUGAGUAACACGUGAGGAACCAACCUUUCAGAGGGGGAUAACACUUAGAAAUAGGUGCUAAUACCGCAUAAGACCACACUGAGGCAUCUCAGAGGGGGUCAAAGGAGCAAUCCGCUGAAAGACGGCCUCGCGUCCGAUUAGGUAGUUGGUGAGGUAACGGCCCACCAAGCCUACGAUCGGUAGCCGGACUGAGAGGUUGAUCGGCCACAUUGGGACUGAGACACGGCCCAGACUCCUACGGGAGGCAGCAGUGGGGAAUAUUGGGCAAUGGGGGGAAAAACCCCCUGACCCAGCGACGCCGCGUGAGGGAAGAAGGUUUUCGGAUUGUAAACCUCUGUCUUCGGGGAAGAUAAUGACGGUACCCGAGGAGGAAGCCACGGCUAACUACGUGCCAGCAGCUGC